rnacentral:rRNA from 1 species
AACGCAGCGAAGGGCGAUAAGUAAUGUGAAUUGCAGAAUUCAGUGAAUCAUCGAAUCUUUGAACGCACCUUGCGCCCCUUGGCUAUUCCGAGGGGGCAUGCCUGUUUGAGUAUCAUGAACACCUCAACUCUUGUGGUUCGCCAUGAAGAGCUUGGACUUGGGGGGCUUGCUGGCGCACAGCCGGCUCCUCUCAAAUGAAUUAGCCUGCCAGUGUUGGUGGCGUCACGGGUGUGAUAACUAUUUACGCUUGUGGUUGCCUGCCAGGUAACCUUCGGUGACGGAGGUUCGCUGGAGCUUAUAAACGUCUUUCCUUGGUGAAGACAGCUUUUUGAACGUUCGAUCUCAAAUCAGGUAGGACUACCCCGCUGAACUUAA